CUUUACUGUAGCCUGGUAUUGGGUUCGGGCUUUGACUGCGCAGGAUAGGUGGGAGACUAUGAAGCUGCCCUUGUGGGGGCAGUGGAGUCAUCAGUGAGAUACCACUCUGUCAAGGCUAGAAUUCUAACCGUCUGCCGUUAUCCGGCGACGGAACAGUAUCAGGUGGGCAGUUUGACUGGGGCGGUCGCCUCCUAAAUGGUAACGGAGGCGCGCAAAGGUUCCCUCAGGCUGGUGGAAAUCAGCCGAAGAGUGUAAAGGCAGAAGGGAGCUUGACUGCAAGAGCAACAACUCAAGCAGGGACGAAAGUCGGCCUUAGUGAUCCGACGGCGCUGAGUGGAAGGGCCGUCGCUCAACGGAUAAAAGUUA
rnacentral:rRNA from 1 species